CGAAUAAUAAAAAAAUAUAAAUUAAAACAAUUUUUUUUUUACAAUAAUUAUCAAUCAUCAUAAUUUCAUCUGGAUUCGAUCAUGAAAGUUUACAAAUAUUACAAUCAACUUCAAUAUUUGAUUAUCUUACAACUUCUUGACUAAAAGCUAUGCCUAUGUUUCUACAAAACUAUAGAGGAUAUCUUAUUUAACUAAUCAUUCUAAUAUUCCAAUACUAAAAACUCAAAAUGCAUGAUUUAGCUCCAUCAUAUGUUUGACUGCAUCACCAAUAAAAUCAAUCAUCCAAGCAACCUACAAGUGCAAAAAUACGCAUUAAUUAAUAACCAGAAAAUAAGUUGUAAAAUUCAAAUUGAAUAGUAUAUUUGUAUCCGUGUUACAGUAAAAAUGUGGAUUGAGGCAUAAACGAAUGGAUAUUACACGAGAGAACUAUACGCAAAACAAAAUUGAAUUUAGAUUCAACAUACUCAAUACUAUCACUAGCAAUGAUCAACUAUUAGCUCCAAAUACUUGUAACAUGUUUUCUUUUACGGAAUAGUAGUAGGAAUAAAUAGUAAUCACCAAUAGCUUGGAGGCACAUUACAAAAAUGACUAACACAAGCUGCACAAAAUACACGUUGGCCACUAACUUAAGCUUGUUCUAUGUUUGAGAACAACUACGUGUUCUUUCUAAAUGCUAUUAUUAAACUUAGCUCUCGUUUAUUCAUCAAAAUAUAUCUAGUACAUGUGCAUAAAAUUCUAACAGUAGGACUCAAGCUAGUUCUAGAAAAACACAUUAUGUUAAAAAACAAUUUUGGCAAUGCCUUAAAAUUGAGCAACUUAGAAUAAGCCAUGUGCCUAGUGACUUCUAGCCUCAAAACAGAAAAAUAGUAUGUGCUCAUUUUUGACCUAUCAAAAGUGGCACCUAAUAAUGUGAAUGAAUUAAAAGGAUGGAAAAGUGGUAAAUGGUAUAAACACUAAAAUAAAAAUAAAUAAACAAACAAAAAACAAGACUUUAGCUUGUAAUUAGACAAAAGAUCAGCUUUUGACAGCCCCAAACCCUAGCCGCAUGAAGCACGGCCGUCCUCCGCCUCACGGUUGCAGCCCCGCAGCAUAUAAGCAUGAACACUACAAAAAGAAACAAUCGAUUUUACAUUGUAUAUUUUGGAUCAUAUAAAAGGAACCGUUUCUUAUUUCUAGGUUACCAUAUAUACAAUACUUUUGCCUCUUAAAUUAAACCAAAUUAACAUAAAAAUGAGAAUCACAUGAGAAACAAGUUAUUGUUCUUCAAUGGCACGGAACAAUGAGGGAAAAAGAUGAUUUAUAUACUAUUUUUUUUUUCCUUCUUCAACAUUAACGAAUAAAAUAUUACUCACCAUAUAAAUACUGCUCCAUUAUAAUUGAAACCUAUAAAAUUUUAUCAUUUUCAUGUUAUGAAAUUUCUUCUUUUCUCACACAAUUCUCCAAUCUUGAAUCUUACAAUCACAAGGGCGGUCAAGAGAAACAUAAACCAAUAUAUCCCUAUUUCUAAUUUCACAUACACAUACAUGUAGCGUUUUAAUAAUUAAAAAAAUUGGGAUUUAGGGCUUGGGAUUAAUAAAUUAUUAGGAUGAAAAAAUUCACAAGGAUUGAUGAGUGCAGUGAGGAUCAAUUACCGUAAAGACAAAAAGAAUUUGCUUGAAAGAGAAAAGAAUUGAUUGAAUUUCUUCGAACUGUAUGUUCUUCUCGUCCUUCCGCGUUGAUCUGCGUUGUUGAAAAAAAAAAGAGGCUGAUGCAGUAGGUUUUAGUGCAAGUUAAAU
rnacentral:lncRNA from 1 species